rnacentral:rRNA from 1 species
AGGGGUUUGGAUCAUGGCUCAGGACGAACGCUGGCGGCGUGCCUAACACAUGCAAGUCGUACGAACCGCGGAGGGCUUGCUCUCCAAGGUUAGUGGCAGACGGGUGCGUAACACGUGAGUAACCUGUCCGACGGAGGGGGAUAGCCGGCCCAACGGCCGGGUAAUACCGCGUAUCGCGUUCGAGGGACAUCCCUUGGGCGUGAAAGCUGCCGCAAGGUAGCGCCGACGGAGGGACUCGCGGCCUAUCAGCUUGUUGGUGGGGUAAUGGCCCACCAAGGCUCCGACGGGUAGCUGGUCUGAGAGGAUGGCCAGCCACAUUGGGACUGAGACACGGCCCAGACUCCUACGGGAGGCAGCAGUGGGGAAUAUUGCGCAAUGGCCGCAAGGCUGACGCAGCGACGCCGCGUGUGGGAUGACGGCCCUCGGGUUGUAAACCACUGUCGGGAGGGACGAAUGCCUGGCUUCGAUAAGGGGAUCAGGUUUGACGGUACCUCCAGAGGAAGCGCCGGCUAACUCCGUGCCAGCAGCCGCGGUAACACGGAGGGCGCGAGCGUUGUCCGGAAUCACUGGGCGUAAAGAGUGCGUAGGUGGUUCAGUUAGUCGUUGGCGAAAUCUCGGGGCUUAACCCCGAGGCUGCCGACGAUACUGCUGAACUAGAGGCCGGUAGAGGCAGAUGGAAUUCCCGGUGUAGCGGUGGAAUGCGUAGAUAUCGGGAAGAACACCAGAGGCGAAGGCGGUCUGCUGGGCCGGUCCUGACACUGAGGCACGACAGCGUGGGGAGCAAACAGGAUUAGAUACCUGGUA